GACGGAGGAUGCAAGCGUUAUCCGGAAUGAUUGGGCGUAAAGCGUCCGCAGGUGGCAGUUCAAGUCUGCUGUCAAAGACCGGGGCUUAACUUCGGAAAGGCAGUGGAAACUGAACAGCUAGAGUAUGGUAGGGGCAGAGGGAAUUCCUGGUGUAGCGGUGAAAUGCGUAGAGAUCAGGAAGAACAUCGGUGGCGAAGGCGGCCUGCUGGGCGGCGACUGACGCUGAGGCGCGACAGCGUGGGGAGCAAACAGG
rnacentral:rRNA from 1 species